rnacentral:rRNA from 1 species
UACGGGGGGGGCAAGCGUUGUUCGGAAUUAUUGGGCGUAAAGGGUGCGUAGGCGGUCUGAUAAGUCAUCUGUGAAAUCUAUGGGCUCAACCCAUAGUCUGCAGGCGAAACUGUCGGGCUUGAGUAUGGGAGAGGUGAGUGGAAUUUCCGGUGUAGCGGUGAAAUGCGUAGAUAUCGGAAGGAACACCUGUGGCGAAAGCGGCUCACUGGACCAUUACUGACGCUGAUGCACGAAAGCUAGGGGAGCAAACAGG